rnacentral:lncRNA from 1 species
CCGCCGCCCAGCUCCCACAUCUCAACAUGGCUUGGUCUGGACCUUUACGUUUCACAGGGAAAACUGUGUUCAUGCUGGUGUUUGCAACUUGGGGAAUACUGAAAAUUCUCGGGCUCUGUUUCAAGGAAACGUGACUCCUACUGCUUCUGCUGGCCUUGAAAGCAUUUAGGUGCCCUGGUCCCGUGCAUGGAGGAAGCAGCGGUAACUCGAACUACAGCGUAUCUUCCCUCCACCAGCAAUGGCUGAGUCUGAUUUCCUUCUGAAUCCGUCUAAGGGGAAACACGCUUUAUCCACAGAUGCAAGAACUUUCUUCCAAAUAUCAACAUUCUAGUCUUAGGCAAAGAAUUCGCAUUCUUUCUAUUAUUUUGACUCUGCUUCUUGCAAAAUAAAACUCCUGG